ACGAACGCUGGCGGCGUGCCUAAUACAUGCAAGUCGAACGCUUCUUUUUCCACCGGAGCUUGCUCCACCGGAAAAAGAGGAGUGGCGAACGGGUGAGUAACACGUGGGUAACCUGCCCAUCAGAAGGGGAUAACACUUGGAAACAGGUGCUAAUACCGUAUAACAAUCGAAACCGCAUGGUUUUGAUUUGAAAGGCGCUUUCGGGUGUCGCUGAUGGAUGGACCCGCGGUGCAUUAGCUAGUUGGUGAGGUAACGGCUCACCAAGGCGACGAUGCAUAGCCGACCUGAGAGGGUGAUCGGCCACAUUGGGACUGAGACACGGCCCAAACUCCUACGGGAGGCAGCAGUAGGGAAUCUUCGGCAAUGGACGAAAGUCUGACCGAGCAACGCCGCGUGAGUGAAGAAGGUUUUCGGAUCGUAAAACUCUGUUGUUAGAGAAGAACAAGGAUGAGAGUAACUGUUCAUCCCUUGACGGUAUCUAACCAGAAAGCCACGGCUAACUACGUGCCAGCAGCCGCGGUAAUACGUAGGUGGCAAGCGUUGUCCGGAUUUAUUGGGCGUAAAGCGAGCGCAGGCGGUUUCUUAAGUCUGAUGUGAAAGCCCCCGGCUCAACCGGGGAGGGUCAUUGGAAACUGGGAGACUUGGGUGCAGAAGAGGAGAGUGGAAUUCCAUGUGUAGCGGUGAAAUGCGUAGAUAUAUGGAGGAACACCAGUGGCGAAGGCGGCUCUCUGGUCUGUAACUGACGCUGAGGCUCGAAAGCGUGGGGAGCAAACAGGAUUAGAUACCCUGGUAGUCCACGCCGUAAACGAUGAGUGCUAAGUGUUGGAGGGUUUCCGCCCUUCAGUGCUGCAGCUAACGCAUUAAGCACUCCGCCUGGGGAGUACGACCGCAAGGUUGAAACUCAAAGGAAUUGACGGGGGCCCGCACAAGCGGUGGAGCAUGUGGUUUAAUUCGAAGCAACGCGAAGAACCUUACCAGGUCUUGACAUCCUUUGACCACUCUAGAGAUAGAGCUUCCCCUUCGGGGGCAAAGUGACAGGUGGUGCAUGGUUGUCGUCAGCUCGUGUCGUGAGAUGUUGGGUUAAGUCCCGCAACGAGCGCAACCCUUAUUGUUAGUUGCCAUCAUUUAGUUGGGCACUCUAGCAAGACUGCCGGUGACAAACCGGAGGAAGGUGGGGAUGACGUCAAAUCAUCAUGCCCCUUAUGACCUGGGCUACACACGUGCUACAAUGGGAAGUACAACGAGUCGCAAAGUCGCGAGGCUAAGCUAAUCUCUUAAAGCUUCUCUCAGUUCGGAUUGUAGGCUGCAACUCGCCUACAUGAAGCCGGAAUCGCUAGUAAUCGCGGAUCAGCACGCCGCGGUGAAUACGUUCCCGGGCCUUGUACACACCGCCCGUCACACCACGAGAGUUUGUAACACCCGAAGUCGGUGAGGUAACCUUUUGGAGCCAGCCGCCUAAGGUGGGAUAGAUGAUUGGGGUG
rnacentral:rRNA from 1 species